AUCCUGGGUGAGCAGUAGCCGUUUCCUGCUCGACGCGGUCUUCUGGCAGGAUUGGCAGCGCCAGAGAGCGAAGGAAGGAAUGAACCAACGGAAGGAACGCUUGGGGCCCAGGCCCCAUUGGGGUACAGCAGUGACGGAGGAGGACUCUUUGUGGGGCGUCACAGGCAUCCAUGGUGGCUGCGGAAGCUUGCGGAGAGUUACUGAUUGAGCAUCUACAGUGUGCCAGGCACUGUAAUAGGCACAAAGGAUACAAGGAUGAGUGAAACACAGCCCCGUUGUAAAGUCACUUUAUUAUCUUACGAUUGGAAUUAAAGUUGAAUUGAAGUACUUCAUUUCAA